rnacentral:rRNA from 1 species
CACGUAGGGUGCGAGCGUUGUCCGGAAUUAUUGGGCGUAAAGAGCUCGUAGGCGGUGUGUCGCGUCGGCCGUGAAAACCUGCAGCUUAACUGUGGGCUUGCGGUCGAUACGGGCAUCACUGGAGUUCGGCAGGGGAGACUGGAAUUCCUGGUGUAGCGGUGAAAUGCGCAGAUAUCAGGAGGAACACCGGUGGCGAAGGCGGGUCUCUGGGUCGAUACUGACGCUCAUGCACGAAAGCGUGGGGAGCAAACAGG